AGCUCCAAUAGCGUAUAUUAAAGUUGCUGCGGUUAAAAAGCUCGUAGUUGGGUUUCUGCUGAAGGAGGUCGGUCCGCUCUAUGAGCGUGUAUCUGAUUCGACUUCAGCAUCCUCGCGGAUUUCGUAACUGUGCUUGAUUGCAUGGUGCGCAUUUCGCGGCUUUUACUUUGAGGAAAUUAGAGUGUUCACGGCAGGCAAGCGUCCUGAAUACACUAGCAUGGAAUAAUACUAUAGGGCCUGAACUCUAUUUUGUUGGUUUCUAGAGUUCAAGUAAUGACUAAGAGGGAUGAUUGGGGGCAUCUGUAUUAACGCGUCAGAGGUGGAAUUCUUGGAUUGCGUUACGACAAACUACUGCGAAAGCAUUUGUCAAGGAUG
rnacentral:rRNA from 1 species